AGUAGGCAAGUGGUACAAUUUUCAACACAGAAACAGAUAAACAUAAUUUAAGAAUAGGAAUGUGCAGCUGUAAAAUGUACAAAUUGUUCAUAUAUAUAUAUUCAUAUUCGUUUCCGAUGUUUUGGAUUUAAGAAAACCAGUUUGCGAGUGCGUUAUGAACUAAUAAUGGUGGACAUAAAACAAAGGAACAAAAUUCUGUGUGGGGAAAAUGUUGUAUCUCUAUUAAAAACAGGCGUUUGUACCUGUAGAGAAACUUCAUUUUAGAAAUUGAACAGUAUUUAAAAGGGGACAUUACAUAGUGGUUUAGAAGCUCGAACAUACACGCAAGGGUUUUAUUAAGCAGUUUUGAAUAACUUUCGCGAACAUUACAUUUCGAAUUGAACACAGUACUAGUAUAAUAUAUUAAUAUAUGACAGGGAGAAAACAUGAAUGAGCUUGUCACGGAUCAAGGUUUGAGAAACUGGAUUAAGGCGUGUUUAGGCUUUAAGUAUGUCAGGGAUGGCAUGCUUCCUUAUAUGCAAAGGAAGUGCGAAGACGUGUACGCAAACAAUGAAACAUACACCAAAAUGAUUACUAAAUUAACAACAUAUUCAUGCAGUGUUUGUUGUGUAAAACAUGUUAAACCAAAUCAUUCUAUAAAUAACUGUUCCGCAAAAGGACAGUUGGGUGGAAAAACAAAAUGCGCAUGUACUUCUAAGAAAAAACAACUAUGCCCAAAUGGAGGUGCGUGUGGGGUUAUGUACGACAGAAUUAUGGACGACCAUGUCAAUAUGACCCCUCGGUGGGACAACUCAGAUUGUCAAAAAUGGUACCUGAACGGAUGGGAACAGAUGAAGUGUUUCAUAGAAAUACCCGGAUAUAAAAAAGGCACAUAUAUCACAGGCAAAUGUAACUGUUUUGUGCACAUAUGUCAGAACAAUAAAACCUUAAAUACGAUAUUUAAAUCGGAUUUAGGUAAACUAAUGCAGGUCCGGGCUGAUCGCAACGAGAUUUUCCAUUCCGGUGAUUUGGUUGUAACAGAUGACAAGUUGAAAGAAUAUCUUGCAAACAUGCAAGCUGUGCUCAAGAUAGCUGUGUUUAACGCGUUUACAUCCGAAUCCAGGAACAGUUGGAUAAACUGGCAAAAAAAUUGAAGCACGGAAGGAUGCAUUGAAUGCUUUGAUUGAAGACACAAACACAUUAGAAAAGCGAUAUGCGAACACACCCGAUAACAAAACAGAAUUAAGUAGGCAACAAGCCCAGUUUGCAGUUUUACAGGACACCCAUAUGAGAAGCAUUGCCGACCUUUUGAAAAGAAUGAAAAAGGAAUUCAAUCUUUGCGCGAAGGUUCUACUCGAACAAUCAAUCGAAAUAAAACACAUUUCUACGGGAGUUCAUGCAAACACAAAGGCAUUUGAAGCUUUACAAA